UUAGUUUUUGAUAAACUGGUAAUAUUUUUUAAAUAUGCUCAAUAACUGUGGGUGGGUUUCCAUCAUAAUAUUUGAGAAUGGAUUAGUUAUACAGAUGACUUUAACUAAAUAGAAUUAUUAAUGAUUCCAACUCAAUAUCUUUAGUCUUUUGUGAAGACCCACCCAUUAGACACAGUUACCUGCCUCUGAUUGGCUAGAGACACUGAACUUUGACGUCAGGCGCAUUUUCAAAUCCAAGCGCAAACGGAGGACACGGAAAAGACGAGCAAUGAACCUUUCCAGCCAUUUCAUCAAAAAGAGCAGCAGUCUUGUUAAUGGAAUGGAGGUGUAAACUCUGCACAUCUGUGGAGUCAUCAAAAGGGACUGUUGGCUGUAUGUAGCACAGCAUCAACAUUUAGAAUAAUACCUUAAACAUCAUCAUUGCAUCAUUGGAUGCUGCUGGUGCUCCUGUCAGCAUAGAAGAGGAGUUGUCCACAGAAGUGAUGAAAAUCUACCUGCUGCCGAACCGAGGAACUACUGACGUAGGCAUUGUGAUUGAGGGAAUCCCUGUCCUCACCAACCUUGGGGAUCUUAGCAGAGCCUGCUGCCAUCUCCUGGGACUGACCUACGUCUUUGAUUUGAAGUACCCCGCAAAGCUCAAACAUAGCUUUGAGGUUUUCCAGAAGGUGCUGCUUCAGCUAGACCCUCUACAUCUUUCACCCAAAGUUCAGAGACUGAAGAAAUGUCUUCUUACUUAGUUAAGGAACUAUGGUUCAGCAAGAUGCUCUCAGGUUUAAAGGUAUCGUCUGUUUGCUGCCACUGUUCCAGAUUGUGAUUGAAGAGUUCUUGAUGUUCACUGAAAGUGGAUUUGUUGAGUGACAAAUGUUUUAAUAUGGAGAUAACUUUUUUUUUUUUGGGGGGCGGGGGCGGGGGCGUUUUAUUGUUUACAUUAGACUAAGACUACAAUCGAAACUGCCAAACAGCCCAUGGCUGUGACUUACUGUCAUUUUAAAGGGCUCAUAGUUCCUGUUGCACUGUUGGAUGGAUGCACAGCACGCAAGCACUUUUACCUUUUCUUUUUUUGUUUAACCAAAGUGAAAUGUUAAAGUUUUAUACAAUAAAAAUAAU